rnacentral:rRNA from 1 species
AGUGAACGCUGGCGGUAGGCUUAACACAUGCAAGUCGAACGAGUGGCGGCCAGGUGAGGAAUACAUCUUAAUCUACUCUGUCGUGGUGGAUAACUUAGGGUAACUUACGCUAAUACCUCAUACGUUCGAAUGAGCCUAUGUCGUAUUAGCUAGUUGGCGGGGUAAAGGCGCACCAAGGCGACGAUCCGUAGCUGCGCUGAGAGGAUGAUCAGCAAAACUGGAACUGAGACACGGUCCAGACUCCUACGGGAGGCAGCAGUGGGGAAUAUUGGACAAUGGGCGAAAGCCUGAUCGAGCAAUACCGCGUGGGUGAAGAAGGCCUUCGGGUUGUAAAGCGCUUUUGUUGGGAAAGCGGUACCCAAAGAAUAAGCACCGGCUAACUUCGUGCCAGCCGCCGCGGUAAUAC